rnacentral:rRNA from 1 species
UACGAAGGGGGCGAGCGUUGUUCGGAAUUACUGGGCGUAAAGGGCGCGUAGGCGGCGACUCAAGUUAGAUGUGAAAGUCCUGGGCUUAACCUGGGGACUGCAUUUGAUACUGGGUUGCUUGAAUUCGGGAGAGGAUAGCGGAAUUCCCAGUGUAGAGGUGAAAUUCGUAGAUAUUGGGAAGAACACCGGUGGCGAAAGCGGCUAUCUGGACCGACAUUGACGCUGAGGCGCGAAAGCGUGGGGAGCAAACGGG